UAAUUGUGAAACAAUUAUUCAAUUCAUUUUAUUGACAAAUAGAUUUUUAAUUGUUGAAUUAAUUAAAAGUUACAAACAGACGCGUUUUUCACACUGGCUUCAAACAAGACAAAAAAGACUUAUCAACAUCUAUUAUUAAGACGUCAUAAUUAGAAAAAAAACUACAAUUUAAUUGUACAAAAAAUACCUAUAAAACAUUUUGACAUGCAAUAAAUAGAUUAAUUUCACGAAAGCCAAGAACAUCUUUUACAAAAAUACUGUUUUGGUGUAUUGUAUUGCUCUGGUGUGUCUGACCCUUACUGAAGUGUCAGCCAUCGACUGUUGAUGUGGAAUCAACGGCUUGACCCUGUUAAGUUAUUUCUAAAACUGAAGAAUCCAAUUUUGAUUGUGAAUUUCUGAUGCAUUUCCAUUAUGUCAACCCCACAUUCUUCCAUUCAUCCAAAAAGCUUGGGUCUCCGGGGAAAUAUCAUAUUUCUGCUGAACUCUCAUGUCCCAAAACCACAAGCAAUCAUCGACCUCAAAACAUUACGGCCAUCUUCAUUAGAUCCCAAUCUAUCAUCUCAGUAAAGGGCACAUUUUACAAAGUCAGGCUCAUUUCUUUUGUGUGAAAUGUUCUGUGUGCCCACACAUGUGUGUGUGUGUGUGUGUGUGUGUGUGUGUGUGUGUGUGUGUGUGUGUGUGUGUGUGUGUGUGUGUGUGUGUGUGUGUGUGUGUGUGUGUGUGUGCGUGUGCGUGCGUGUGUGUGCGGGUGUGUGUGUGUGUUUAUUGGUUUACGUAAGCUUAGCAUCCCCAUGCUGGGUUCAGCCCUGAGUGAGCACCGGUUUGACCUGUGCUACUUUUAGCUCAAACUAAUAUCAGCCAAAAUAUGAAAAGUGUGUGUGUGGAAAAAAAAUUAAAAUGUACAAAAAGAAAUACAGAUUUUGAUAUGGUCAUAUGCUACAGAUAGAAAGCCCUUAUUAAAUUAUUGAUACAUACGUACAAAAACAACAAAAGCAAUGGCAGGAGGAAGCGCGCUGCUCACUCUGUUUGAACUCGGUUUCCUUUGGAAGUGACUCUAUGUCUCGGGCCUUUCAGACUCACUACAUAAAUCACAGUGCAUGUAUGGCUUAACAGUCUUCACAUUCGCUCGCUGAGGUUGGCAUCGCCGCUCUAGUGGUCGGCCCGUGGUCUCAUCUCCAGCCCGAGGCCGGGAAGAGGAGAGGAGGAAGACGAGGAAAAUAACAACACACAGGCAAAAGCAAGCUCUGGGAGGAAGACGAGGAAAAUAACAACACGCAGGCAAUAGAGCUCAGGGAGAGGGAGUAGAGAGAGAGAGAGAGAGAGAGAGAGAGAGAGAGAGAGAGAGAGAGAGAGAGAAAACACGAAACUAAACCAAACAGAACAAUUGAAAAAGAGGACAGAAAAGUGCCUUCUUCUUCUUCUUCUUCUUCUUCCACCCACCCGGUCUCAGUGGUCUCUGUUCUCUGGUUCUCAAUAGUAUGUCCACUGUUGUUUGGCUGAUACCAUCGGGAAGAGGGCGCGGGGGCGGGGGACGCGUGCUCCGCUGGGGUAUUAUGGGAUGUUAACAAGGACCAGGGGCUGAAAUGGCAUGCAUGAAAUAGGCGAAGGGGGGCUGGGGG
ensembl:lncRNA